rnacentral:sRNA from 1 species
AAAGUUAUAGGCUUGGUGCUUUUUUCUUAGUUUUUGGUUUCGACCUCUUGCGUUUGUGGUUUGAAGUAUUAUGUUUUGUUUUAUUACUAUGUUUAGUUUCACUUUUUUAGAGCCAAUUUCCGAGGAAAUUUUGUUUUCUGUCGGCUUUGACUCUGGAGACUUUUAUGUCGUCCGCUGGCUUUAAUUUCCCUUAUU